UUCAUUUUGAAGUAGAUGACAAAUAGACUCGUAAAGAUGAUCGCAACUGUCAGCAGUGUGAAGCCCCGUUUAAGACAAGUCAGCUCCAUUUGAAAGUGGGGGUAAAUAUCAGACGAAACGGCAUUGCCGUGUUUGCUUCUUCUUUUUUGUCGGUCUGAAUGUUUGAAUUGUUGUUAGAGAUAAGAUGCGACAGAAAAGGCGGAGCGACUUAACACCUGACUACAGGUGCAGCUGUUUGAUCUGGUUCUAAAUGAACGCGGAUGACACAAUUACCAGAGAUUCACUUGGAUUUGAAUCCACGACAAAUCAUCCAUGGCUGGAUUUCCGGCAGUACAAGCUAGUGGUGUAAAAAUCGAGUCUGUUGAUGAGCAUUUGAUAACUACGAAAGUUAGGCUUAUGACUAAAUAAUGGACACAUACUUGUUUUUAUUGACCUGUAACCACGCAGCGUAAAUAUUACCAAAUAAAUGCAGGUUACAGUUUAUUUACAACACAUCUCCAUUUAUUUUAGAAUGACAAGUGCGGUGUGUAUAGGCCUAUAUGCUACAUUUAAAUUUAUUUCCCUAUGGUUGGGGGAUCAUAUAAGGGGAAUGGACUUAUGAAUAAGGACGAUUGCGGGAAGAAGGGAAUAGGCUAUCCGUUAAAACAGAAAUGGACUUGCAGACGAAAACGUUAAAAUGGGAUCUGCAACGAAAUCAAAGAAAGGCAAUGACUGAGAAGGGGGAGUCUGCAGACCUGGAGCAGGCGGUUUUACGCCCGUUUUUACUUAUUUGUCCAGUAGGGGGCGCUGUACAUUAAGAACCACCAGAACAGACCUAAGAACAGAUAACGUCAUCGUCCAUCACGAGUUAUGGAAAUAAUAAAAACGUGUUCAAGAAUGCAUUUUACAUAUUUACUGCACUUUAAACCAAUAGCUUGUCUAAUAAAUACAUUAAUGACUUACAGAGACAUGUGGCAAUGUUUUAAUGACAUUCUCAAUUUCUUUGCACAGUCCAUCAUCAGUGGCCAAAAGAAAUCAAAGUGGCUUGACAUAUUUUGCAAUCCUUCAGCAAUACCAUGCUUGUGCCUGUAUACGUUGACAAUCAGGACCAAAUUGAUGACAUCUACAUUCACCUCACUUAAUUUCUGGACAGGACACCCACACAGACUCACAGUGACACAAUCAAGUUUAUUAUGGAUGUCCUUUUUCCAGAGUCCAUCAUCUGUUCCCUUGCUGCUUUGGAAAAUCUCACCAUGCUGGAGGCUGAGGAGGAAUUUCUACAAGGGCCUGUCAUUGACGAAAGUGAGCGGGAGCAGUUUGACAGGAGGAUUAAGAACAUUUUGAAGAAGAGUGGCAACCCAUAGGAGUCAUUAUCGAGAGCCAUCCUAUAAUGAUCAUCAAUCCUGUUUUUGAUAAUGGUCUUAAUAAAUAAUGUUGUUCACAAGAAACUUGUCAUUUUUUUCUUAGAAGAUAAAAGACCUUAGAAAUUUCUUAAAGUGGUGAAUUGUGUUUUUCUUCUUUAAAUAGUAUGCAGGACACUGUUCUAAAUGCACGGCGGAUAUUUCAUUGAUGGUUCAUAUGAUUGCACUUAAUGUCUGAUGGGCUAAAUAUGGUUAAUAUUUGGGGAGGGAGUGUUUUUUUGUGCUUUGUGAUCUGUUCCUGAUAACCUGUUACCUUGUCUUUGUACCUACCUUGUGGAUUACCUUGCCCCUGUCUGGAUGUUCAUUGUUUAUCACGUCGUGUCUUUGAGUUUGUAAGUCAUUUUAGUUAUCUUGUUUCCUUUGUUUUUUUGCCCCCUCGCGGGAAGUCUUUGUUUAUGAAGUUUUUAUUGCCUUAGUUUCGUUUUCCCCACCGUGGGUGUUUCUGUUGUUUAUAAAAGUCUUUCGUGUCUGCAUGUGCUGCCUGUGCUUGGGUUCUUCUCUCUAGUUCUUGACACAGUUGCCUGACUCAAAAUGAUGCUAUGGAAUAAACAGUAAGAAGCGUAAGAAGGAGCACUAAAGACAGUAAAAAUACAUAUACAGUAUUGUCAAAUAAAUACCUUUCUGGAAGGGUGCAGCUGAACUCAUUUUGUGAUGUGUAUGUGUAAGCAGUUUUAAUCAGAACAUGAUAUUGUUGAUAUUGUCCAAUAUCUCUGGUAUUGGGUUAGCUUCUAGUAUAUUUGAAUGAUAGGUUUUGGCUAUUUCAGCUACACUAUCAAUAGUGUGUCUAUUUAAUUCUUAAUGUCUAGUUGCCCGACUCAAAAUGAUGCCAUGGAAUAAACACAGUUUUUGAGCCUACAUUAUUAAUGUAGUAAAAAGCAUGUUACUCCUGUGUUGGUCUCUUUACAUUGACUGCUGUUCAUAUUGAUUUUAGAAUUUUAUUAUUUGUUUAGCUCGGCAUGGACUUGCUUGCCACUACAUACAGCAGUGGCCAAAAGUGAUGUCUGGGCAGGCAUAAUUGUACAAUAUUUGCUACGCCUCAGAAUAAAUGAAACCAUCAAACUAUGGGGUAUGGUACAAGAUGGACAGAACACUAAACAUUUAAGGCAUUUAAAAUGUCACAAUUAUUUGGCUACAUCAUAUCAAAGAAUAUGGGUGCAUAAUGCAUAAAAUAAGAUCCCAUUCAAAAAACCUGGAGGAUGGAAUCAGAAGUGUUGAAAUUUUAACUGGCUUUGAGGUUUUGCCUACAAAAAUGUGUCAUCCAUGUGGCACUCUGAAUCUGAAACAAAAGCCCACAGCCCAGCACAACCCUCUUCCACAAACAUUAUAACAUCUGAUUAAUCAUAGCCUACAGUACAUCUAACUUCAGUAAACUGUAACCAAGCCCUUCUAUAUCACAUUCGACAGCUGAUUCAAAGAAUGACGAGCCAGUGCUUAUUUCUAUAGAUUGAAAAGCCAUUAUGUCAUGGCUCUGCUUCAUUUAGUCAUGUUUUUCUUGGUCCUGUAGCAGAGUCAUGACAAAGCCUUUGGUUAUGUGUGGAGAGAAACAUAUUAUUGUCCUUUUGACAAUAAUAUACGUUCUCUCCAGUGUCUCUCUGUUCCCGCCAUCUCGUUUCCUCGUUAUCUUUCCCUGAGUGUUUAAUUACCCACACCUGCCCCGUGUCGUUAUCCUUUGUCUGUCUUCCCUAUAUAAUACCCUCAUGUUUCAUUGUCCUGGGUCGGUCAUUACGUUGUGUUUGUAUGUGCUGCGUUUAGUGUCCUGAUGGUCCUUGUGUUUCCAGAGUCUUUUGUUGCUGAUUUAUCCUGUUAUUGUAAGUGUUUAGUUUAGUCUAUGUCAAGUGUUGUUUUGGUUAGUGUUUAGUUAGUUUACGUCCCUUUUACUUAUUAUUAUCUUGUUCUUGUUUACACCCCAUCGUGGGUUUUUGUUUUGGUCUUUUGUUUAUUUUAUAAAUAAAGUCUUGUCUGUUAACCCCUUA